rnacentral:lncRNA from 1 species
GUGGCUGACCUGGAGAUGCCGGCCUGGCAGUGCACAAACACCCUUCCUCCAGCAUCCUUGAUGGAGUCUGAAAAACAAAGUUAUGGCUUACUCAAAAACUCAGGAGGACAGCCGAGCCCUGAUCAAAGACGCCCUCAUGCUAUCAUAGGGACUGUGCAUAUGCUGUGCAAAGGAUAGCAAGGGAUUUAAACCCAGAUUGGGUGUCUGCACGUAUAAUCCUGGACAAGACAGUCAGUCCAACUAUUCAAGUCUCAGUGAGGAGGAAGGUUGGGCUCAGCAGCUACAGUAGAGAAGAACGCAGAGAUCCCAGACAUCUAUCCCACUUACCUAUAAAGUCAAUCGCCUCGUUGAACCAGGAGCUAAUGUCUGCCUUGUGGUUGUCCUCCACAGGGAUGCUCUUGUACUGGUAGUGACCCUCAAAGUGGUUAGGACAAUUGGCCGAGACGUUGAUCAAAGCAGUGAUACCCAAGGCGUCGAGCAUAUCUUUCCGGGAAGCAUGGUAAGCACUGCCCAGGUACAGGAAGGACAGGAUCUCCACUGGGCCCCCCUGAAAUCCAAAACAAUCCAGCGUUCAUCAAGCUUGUUCGGCGUGAACACGCCAGGACCCACGCCCACAAAAACUCCCGACUGAAAAAGGGAGUUUCUGAAAAGCGGUGACCUCAGUACUGCUGUUGACAUAUGAAAAUAAUAGUAAAGAAUCGAGCCGGUUGGCCGGGACAGAGCCAACAAGCUCUUCCGUGCCAGCAACUGGGAGAAUUCAGCUCCAUCCAAUUGCUUCAUGGUGAAAUGAAGAUCCUCGUGUCCCCGCUAGUAUAAAUAAAGCUACAGCCGCUUUCUCUAUUCUCCCUGGCACAAGCUUCCCAGAGCUCUGCCAGUUCUGCCACCUCCCAGCCUCUCGUAGACCCCGGACUCCUACUAACCUGGUCGUAGAGAGGGGUGCUACAGGAGCUGCAUCCGGAUUCUGCACUGUCAGGCACACUAGUACUCAGCGGGAGGCUGAGCCCCAUGGGGGUGGACUGUUUGCUGCACAGCUCAGGGCAGGAAGCCGAAAACGCUUCAUAUCCUCCUGAGAAUACAAAGGUACAUAUUUUCCCAUUAACGCCGCCGCCGACGCAGUACCUGGAGACAAGUCACCCACCCACCAGGGGCUGCGAGUUUACAAGGAAGGUUUAGGAAGUCUUUGUUCCCGGAGUCAAACAAAGCCAGUGACAAGCCCCUGGACACAGGCGCUCUCACACUCCAGGUGGGACGCCCCCCUUCCUUAGCUGAUGGCAGAAGUCCUGCGCGUACCUUGGAGGAAGAAGACUUGAGUGGAGCGCGCUUCUCGGCAGAGCGCGCCCGCGGCCAGGGCCAGGGUGCCGUCGCGCUUGGCGCCGUCCAGGGCGGCGCUGCGUUCGUCCAGCAGCACUACGGCGUGAUAGGCUCCGGCCAGCAGGCGGCCG